GUGAGGUGGACGCACUGCCCAUCCCAACUGCACCGCCCCGUACACUGAGCCAAGGAUGGCAGGUGUGGGCUCUGGGGUCGGACAGAAUUGCACCAUUGGAUCUGGCCUUCCAGAGCGAGGCUAUGCGGACUCCCCUCACCCUACCGCUGUCCUGUGGCGCUGGCUAGGGGCACCAUGGUUGCACCAGAUCCUGCAAAUGCUAGGGUGAAGGGAAAAAACAUCAUCUACAAAUGAAAACAAGACUCAUAAUUCCAAGAAAAGAACUCAAUUAAAACCAGAAUUGAACAAUCAGCAAACUAUUUCAAGACUGAAGUAAACAAUUUACAUACAAAAAGAAACAGUUCACCAACAAAUUUUCACUAAAAGGACCUCUGGAGUAGUGUAUAUUAGACUGUUGUGACAGACCCAAAAUGAAAUGGCUCCAGCGUUAAAGAGUUCUUUCUAACAACCUAGCACGGAUAUUGAGAUCUGAUAGCUACUGUCCUCAGUAAGGAAAUCACAAGUCACAAAAAGGAGACAGAGAUAAACUGAACAUCACCAAACUUGAAAACUCUUAUUGUGUUUCAAAGGACACCAUAAAGAUAGUGAAAGAGUGAGAAAAAAUGUUGUAUUGUAUCUGAUACAGGUCUCAUGUCUAGAAUAUAUAAGAACUUUUACAAGUCAGUAAUAAAAAGCAAGUAAUGGAUUGAACAGA